rnacentral:lncRNA from 1 species
UGCUGACUUCGGCCAUCAAUUUAGUGAUCUCACGGUUGAUGGCUGAUUGAGGGGUUAAUUUGGGGGAGACGACGGUAUAGUGGACAGAGCAGGAAGAAAUCGAAGCAAGGAGAAAGAACCGUCUAUAGAUGGGGGCUGAGGUGCCCGACGAAGUCGAUCGCGGAGAGAAUGCAAAUGGUGGCUGUGAAUCGAGAGUUAUGGAGAACCACUAUGUUGUUGUUGAUUGCGAAAAGGAAACAAUACAUAGAGAAGCAAAAGUCGAUGGGGAAAAGGAAACGGGAGAGAUGCAAUUGUUAUGAAAUGGCCUAGAGAAAGUUUUAAUUUAGGGCUGAAAAAUUAGAACAAAC